CGGGUGAGUAAUGUAUGGGGAUCUGCCUGAUGGCGGGGGAUAACUACUGGAAACGGUAGCUAAUACCGCAUAACGUCGCAAGACCAAAGAGGGGGACCUUCGGGCCUCUUGCCAUCGGAUGUGCCCAGAUGGGAUUAGCUAGUAGGUGGGGUAAUGGCUCACCUAGGCGACGAUCCCUAGCUGGUCUGAGAGGAUGACCAGCCACACUGGAACUGAGACACGGUCCAG
rnacentral:rRNA from 1 species